CUCCAGAGGAUUGGUCAAGGUGAAGG
rnacentral:piRNA from 1 species